rnacentral:rRNA from 1 species
GGAGGAGGCAAGCGUUGUCCGGAAUCAUUGGGCGUAAAGAGCGCGUAGGCUGUUUUUCAAGUCAUUUGUGAAAACCUCAGGCUUAACUUGAGGACUGCAUAUGAAACUGGAAAACUUGAGUGCAGUAGGGGAAAGUGGAAUUCCUGGUGUAGCGGUGAAAUGCGCAGAUAUCAGGAAGAACACCGGUAGCGAAGGCGGCUUUCUGGGCUGCUACUGACGCUGAGGCGCGAAAGCUAGGGGGGGAGCAAACAGGAUUAGAUACCCUGGUAGUCCUAGCUGUAAACGAUGGACACUAGGUGUGGGGAGUUAUCGACGCUUUCCGUGCCGGAGCUAACGCAUUAAGUGUCCCCGCCUGGGGAGUACGGUCGCAAGACUA